rnacentral:rRNA from 1 species
UGCCAGCAGCCGCGGUAAUACGGAGAUGACAACCGUUGUUCGGAAUCACUGGGCUUAAAACGCACGUAGGCGGGAUAUUAAGUCGGCUGUGAAAGACCACGGCUUAACCGUGGAUGGUCAGCCGAAACUGUUUACCUUGAGUAUGGUAGGGGAUAGUGGAACUCCUGGUGGAGCGGUGAAAUGCGUUGAUAUCAGGAGGAACGCCGGAGGCGAAAGCGACUAUCUGGGCCAUAACUGACGCUGAUGUGCGAAAGCUAGGGGAGCAAACGGGAUUAGAUA